AGGUAGACGCGAGUAGGAGUCAGAAGCAGCGGUAGGUGUCACGCCGCCCGUUUUGCGCCAAACUCGAGGUCCGUCCAUUACGUGGAUGCGGUUGCGGUCACGGGCUCGGUCAGGGCCGCGAUCGCCGAUUCGAGAGAGCACCUUGCACCACUCCCCGACUUUCUCAUCUAUCGCGAUCGGCAGCGGCCUUGAGAUCGACGCCGCGGAACGAUCGGCGGCCCGACGCUGCUUAUUCACCCCGCAUCGAUGUAACCGCCCGAGACAAGGCGAUAGAGUUAUUCAGUGAUCACUUAGCCGGUGGUUCGUUGCAAGAGGAGGCACCAUCGGAUGCCGAGGAGCUUUCUCUUUUCCCCCCGCAGUCGGAUCGACCAAUCGGUUAUCCAGACUCGUGGGCGAAGGUACCUCGUACCUAAACAGGUCUACAAAUAUUCCUCCGGAGGGGAUUCGGUAAUGACACCGGACCCCAAUUUCCAUAAAGUUGGUUGAAGCCCCAAAUACUGGCCCGCGGGUUAGAGGCAGUCAGGAGGAGGACAGCAAAGUUUUGGGAAUCGAGAUCGCCGGGAAAUGGUACGAUGUCAGCGUAGAUAGCGCACUCGUGCACCUCCCCGCCUGCCAACCUCCGGACCAACACACCUACCUGUGCACCCACCCACCUUCCUACCUACGCCAACGCCGACGCCACUUGAAGCGGUCCAAGCCGACCUUGAUCUUGAGAGCGGUAAGGUGCAUCUCGGCCCAGGGAUAAAGGCAGCAUUGAGGCGCCGUUACAAGAAUCGCGAUUCAGAGAAAGACCCUCAACUUACGAGACGAAAGUAAGAUUAUUAUAUCAAGGAGGUAGCGUAUUUACCUACCCACCCAACAUGCCGUAUACGCCAUGCGCCUAUCUCCCCAUCUGCCUACCCACGUCACCUCGGAGCGGUUUCGAGCCGACCUUGAUCUUAAGAGCGGAAAGAUGCACCGUGGCCCGCGAGAAUAAAGGCUGCGUCGACGCGCCGUUUUAUGAACCACUACCGGUAAAACGAGUCCGGAGCAAACCAAGACCCAUAAGUUCGAACGUCACCGAUUGACUUCGACUCCGUCGGUGCGGAGAGGGACUGCGACAGGAAACGGGGAAAAAAAAGAGACAUCCAGUCUCCCGGAGAACAGACUCGCGACGUUUAGUGCCACUUUGACCCGUCUCUCCAGGAACCGAAAAUAGUCACGAGCGCGGCCUAAGGUAAUUCGGCGGUCGCGAAAAGACGAGUCGAGCCGGGCCGAUAGCGAGACGGUGGCCGAGACCCGUAGAGAUUCGUUCUCGCGGUACGACGCCGCGUAUAAUGGCAACGUGUUUUCGUCUAAUGUACUUUUUGUGAUGUCCUUGAUGGAGG